rnacentral:rRNA from 1 species
CAGUGUAUGUUUCGCCCUAAUCGAUGUAAUUUUUUGAACUAAAUUAUUCGCCAGAGUACUGCCGGCAAUAGCCCGAAGCUCAAAGGACUUGGAGGUGCUUUAUACCCUUCUAGAGUUGCCUGUUCUAUAAUCGAUAAACCCCGAUAAACCUCACCAAUCCUUGCUAAUACAGUCUAUAUACCGCCAUCUUCAGCAAACCCUAAAAAAGGGACAAAAGUAAGCUCAAUAAUAACACAUAAAGACGUUAGGUCAAGGUGUAACCUAUGGAGUGGGAAGAAAUGGGCUACAUUUUCUAUCCAUGAAAAUUUAAUACGAAAGCUAUUAUGAAAUUAAUAGCCAAAGGAGGAUAUAGCAGUAAACUAAGAAUAGAGUGCUUAGUUGAAUCAGGCCAUGAAG